UUUGUCAUAUAAUUUCUCAUAUUUCUAUUUAUUACCCGUAAAAAUUGAAAUAUUAAAUUUCAAUAAGAUACGAUAUAAAUAUUAAAAGUACUUAUACCAAUUAUUCACGAUAGUGCCUAACCCACACCUCAUAUAAUUUGUAAUGUUAUUAUCACGUGCUUUUCUUUGUUUAGUUUUUUUCAAUGAAGUGAAAACGCUUCCGUUUGAGUUUGAGUAGAGUGAAAGCUAAAAAUAAUAUAGCCAACAUUUGUGAUUGUAUUUCUUUUUAUUAAUUCAUUGAAAUUAAAUAAAACCCAGAAUGCCAAAAAGAAAUUUAAAGUGGAGCUGAAAAUUGGAAAAAAAUGCUGCUGGUCUCAAAGCAGGGCUGAUCUAAAACAACUUAAAUUAUCUUUCUUUUAUAAAUCAAUACCAAGAAUAUCAACCAUUUACAUCUACCUGAAACAAUUAAAGUGUCUGCAACAUCAUUAUUUAUUAUUGAAAACUAUAUUAUCCACCAUUACAAGCAAUUCCAUCUUUAUUAUCCUCACAUUUGUCAGAAGCAACUACAUCAAUAAUGCCUUCAGAUAUUUCACAAAGUGAAUUAUUGAUAUCGGAAACAAUUGCAUCAUGUAUAGGAAUAUUAACGUCACAUUCAUCUGUAACAAUUUCAUCAUCUAUUCUUUUAAAGAGCUCCUUCCCAGAUAUGCCACAAAUCGAUUCAGGGGAUCCUACAGUAGCUCCUUCAGAAUUGGAUAUGCAUACAUACACUUUAAGUUGAAAUUAACAGCUACUAUGCCUCAAAUACUUACAUUUUUAAUGCAAGAUCCUAUACAACCAAUAAAUAGUAAAUAUGAUAAAUUAUAUAAUCGAAUGGUAAUGAGUGAAAAAUACUUAGAAAAUGAAAUUGAAUAUUAAUUAAAUUAACUUCAACUGAAAAUAUAAC